AGCAGCCGCGGUAAUUCCAGCUCCAAUAGCGUAUAUUAAAGUUGUUGCAGUUAAAAAGCUCGUAGUUGAAUUUCGGGAUCAAUAUUUCGGUCAUGCCGUUGGUAUGCACUGUUAUUAUUGAUUUCUCACCUUCUAAAGAACCGUAAUGCCAUUAAUUUGGUGUUACGGGGAAUUAGGACUGUUACCUUGAAAAAAUUAGAGUGUUUAAAGCAGGCUCACGCUUGAAUACAUUAGCAUGGAAUAAUGAAAUAGGACAUCCGAUUCUAUUUUGUUGGUUUCUAGGAUCGAUGUAAUGAUUAAUAGGGAUAGUUGGGGGCAUUAGUAUUCAAUUGUCAGAGGUGAAAUUCUUGGAUUUAUUGAAGACUAACUACUGCGAAAGCAUUUGCCAAGGAUGUUUUCAUUAAUCAAGAACGAAAGUUAGGGGAUCGAAGACGAUCAGAUACCGUCGUAGUCUUAACCAUAAACUAUGCCGACUAGGGAUCGGAUGAUGUUAAUUUUUUAAUGACUCA
rnacentral:rRNA from 1 species